rfam:Caenorhabditis remanei strain PB4641 contig0.34, whole genome shotgun sequence.
ACAGUUUUCUCAGGGCUUUGAACGCUCACUGAAAAACGUUGAAAGACUGAAGAGUACUGUGA